UGUCCUGGCACAUUCCAUAAACGCCAACAGCCAGUCCUCUCCUUACUGGUGUUUCUACUGUCACCGUGACGCAGGGCCACUCAUUCAUCUGAGGAACAGAUUUAACUUCUCUGCCUGAAUUUACUAAUGGCUUCAAACAGCUUAACUGAACUUUUCUAGAUAUUAACACACACUGCUAGCCAAGAUAAACACAUCUGAGGGCCCGAUUUAAGCGAAAUGACUGGAUAGGAGAGGCAGUGAGGCAUUCCAUGAUCCAGUUUCAACAGACACAAUCGAGAACAAACCAGAUCUUCACUGAGAAAAGUUCCCUCUGGGGCAGCGCUCGUGCACACACGCUAUUUUGUAAUGGGAGCUUCUGCGUGCUUCCAUCACUGUCUGCACACGGUGUUCUUCAGGUCAAAUUCUCACUAUACUUCUGCAAUGACAGUUUGCCUGAUUAUGAGUGUCACCUGAGACUUAGAAAAGACACUGCUUCCUGCUUUAGACUACUGAAUCUGAAUCUCCAUGACAGGAGCCUGGGAAUCAGUGUUUCCAAAACCUCCAGAAGAUCUGAGGUAAGCCUGGGAUUCAUUCACAUUUUGACCAAACUCGUCAGGCAAUGGUGAUGACCUUCGGAGUCUGAGAACCUCAGCUCAAAUGUAUCAGCUUAAAUCCUACCUCCUUCCCGAAGUCUUCCCAAGACAAUUGGAGUUCACGUGCUUUCUCCUAUAUUCUGAGGGUUGUUCUGAGAAAUAACUUCAGAACACAAACAGCGCCCACCAGGUAGCAAUGCUCAAUACGUGUUAACUCCUCUGAUCACUUGUCUUGUUAUUGUCCUUUCCAAGCAAGUGAAGCAUGGCACCUCUUCCUAACCAUAGGUAUAUCCUCCAGAGCGCCCAGAACACUACUCGACCCCAAGAGGCACUCAACGAUCAGCUGUUGCAUCAAAUUGAGGAGGCAGUAGGUUCACCUGGGUGGCUUAGUUGUUAAGCAUCUGCCUUCGG